GGAGACCACAUAUGUAAGAUUACCAAGAAAACGAUCACUUAUUGUUUUGAGACUUAUAAACGUGGCUGGCACGGAAAAUAGCACGGCAAAUAAAAUUAAUAAAAACGUGGUCGUCGGGAUGUGAACUGAACUCUAGUCGUGUUUCUUUAUAGAAUCGCUUAGCUCCAUAGUUAAUACACACUUCAUAGUUCAUACUGUUCAGUAGAUUGGAAACUUGUGCCAGCCAUCAUAACCAAAGACAUUCAAGCUUGCUCGUGCUGCCAUCAGUAACAAUCUCAACAUCAGCCCUUUGAUAAACAGCAUGGUCCCGUUUGAUUGGUGACAUUCCCCUUU